GGGCAAGCGUUGUUCGGAAUUACUGGGCGUAAAGGGCUCGUAGGUGGCCAACUAAGUCAGACGUGAAAUCCCUCGGCUUAACCGGGGAACUGCGUCUGAUACUGGAUGGCUUGAGUUCGGGAGAGGGAUGCGGAAUUCCAGGUGUAGCGGUGAAAUGCGUAGAUAUCGGCAGGAACACCCGUGGCGAAAGCGGCCACCUAGCCCAUAUCUGACGCUGAUGCGCGACAGCGUGGGGAGCGAACUGG
rnacentral:rRNA from 1 species